UGGGAUAUCUAAUUUGCACAAGAAUACUUC
rnacentral:piRNA from 1 species